UGGGGAAUAUUGGACAAUGGACCGAAAGUCUGAUCCAGCAAUUCUGUGUGCACGAUGAAGUUUUUCGGAAUGUAAAGUGCUUUCAGUUGGGAAGAAAGAAAUGACGGUACCAACAGAAGAAGUGACGGCUAAAUACGUGCCAGCAGCCGCGGUAAUACGUAUGUCACAAGCGUUAUCCGGAUUUAUUGGGUAAAAGCGCGUCUAGGUGGUUAUGUAAGUCUGAUGUGAAAAUGCAGGGCUCAACUCUGUAUUGCGUUGGAAACUGUAUAACUAGAAUACUGGAGAGGUAAGCGGAACUACAAGUGUAGAGGUGAAAUUCGUAGAUAUUUGUAGGAAUGCCGAUGGGGAAGCCAGCUUACUGGACAGAUACUGACGCUAAAGCGCGAAAGCGUGGGUAGCAAACAGGAUUAGAUACCCUGGUAGUCCACGCUGUAAACGAUGAUUACUAGGUGUUGGGGGUCGAACCUCAGCGCCCAAGCAAACGCGAUAAGUAAUCCGCCUGGGGAGUACGUACGCAAGUAUG
rnacentral:rRNA from 1 species